CCAGGACAGCGUGAAAGACAAACACCUGCUGAUAGGAACAAAAGUCCUCUCUGCAGUUGUGAUUAUUUGAACCAUGGAUUGUUGACGUUGAACCUGCUGUCUUUUUGAUUGCUGAAGGGUUGAAGGUUUGAAAACCAUGUGCACCACCAUCAUGGUUCUCUCCACUCUGGCAUUUUUACUGCGCCAACAUCUCUUCAGGGGAAGCAAAACCUUUCCGACAAACUUGGAUGGAAAAGAUACACCUGCAGUGCAGAGCCAAGAUCCUGACAAAUGAAACGGCAUCACCAGAAAGCUUCUCUCCAAAAAUGCCCUGCGCUCUAAAAGUGGAACCAGCUGAGCCACGGCAGCUUUCACGCCCUGCCAACGAGCUGAUCUGGAGAGACCAUCAAUCUCCUCCGCUAAACCUUUCGUUUAGAACCAGGGGAGGGAAAGCCAUCUCGGUCCCGCAGACAUCCUUACCUAACUCUGCUAAGACAAAACGACGGCUUCUAGCAGAGCAGAAAUAAACAAGAUGCCCAUUCACGGCCCGCUGCGUCCCCGUUUGAGGGGGAAAUCCACUCCCCCGCUCCCCGCAGCCUCUAAAACACGACCCUCGGAUUGUUAUGUCGUGUGACUGAAGAUUUCUCCCUUGACGUCGUUUCUCAUCCGCAUCCGGUAACGACUAAAUUGUGUACAGUAACAACUGAGCUCCUACGCCAAAUAAAGCUGUUUUCCAUCUA